UUUUAUUUUUAUUUUGAUUACUAUACAGAAUUUACAAAUAUGUAUUCUUGCUGGUAAAGAAGCUCUAGACAUAUGUAGAAGAGUCUUUAAUCACACAGAAUUGUCCAAAUUUGAUCAUUUUUUAUUUGCUUCAUCCUAAACCCUAUUAAGAUCAAAUUUACUUCCUUUUCUCUCUCUCCCUGUUUCCCCCAUUUUUCUCUGCAGCUGCUGGACCAGAUCUCGUUGCGGCAUCGUUCCACAUUGCGUUCGUCGUUGCGGCACCGUUCCAAUCGCGUUCGUCGUUGUUCCAUAUUCUGCUCUGCACACACAGAAGAGAGAGAGGAGAGAGAGAGUACACGACAUUUUCUCGCGUCACUGUAGCUACGUGGGCUUUCUUCCCCUUCCAGUAAGUUGCUUCAGGUUCACUGCUUUUUCUUCUUCAUCAUCGUCGUCUUCCUCUUCUUCUUCUUCUUUUGUUGGGUGCUGUGGACGCAGAGGGGCUUGGUUUUCUGGAAACAGCAUGAAGCUUUGAUCGUAUACAUGGGUAUUUUGGGUACAAAAUUUUGAUUCUUGAUGGAGUGUUCUACCCGGAACUCAAAUACUACCUCUACAGAGGUAAUCCAAUUCCGGGCAAUUCUGGAGUUGAAUUCCUAAUAUUGGGUGGUCCCCACAGAAAUUUUGAUUCCCUAAUUGCUAGUAAACGUCGGAAUGCAUUGGGGAAUGUCCAAUUCCGUUUCUCUUGAUUCCAAUCCCGAUAGGUAAACACGCCCUAGGAUUUAAAUGAUUGUUUCAAAUUUCUUGAUUUGGCUCUGAACUGUUCAAAUUUCUUGAUAUGGCUCUGAACUGUGAGAUUCAGAAAGGAUCUUCAUUCAGAUUAUGGGGCCAAUAAUGUCUGUCUACCUCAAGUAUUCAUGUUAAGUUUGGUCGGAAGAUUAUUUCAAGCACCCGAUAUUCAAGUGACACUCUAAAUAUUUUAAUAUAUAAAAAUAACAUUAUUUUUCGUGUCUCUCUAUUAGAAAAAAAAAUGAUAGCAACUUUCUCAUUUAAACUUUGUUUUACUAUUUUUUCAAUUAUUUUUUUAAUUUAGAAAUGUUUUUUAAUGAUCAUUUUUUUUUGUAUUUUUAUAUUUACAUAAAAGAGGAACAACUGAUGGCAAGUCAUGGUCAGUGGCAAAUCCCGAAUUUUAAACUCCGGGAGUCCCAUUAAUAAAGGUCAAAAAAAUUAUAGACAAAAACAAUAUUGAAAAGUUAAAUAUAAUACAUUUCAUUCAAAAAUCAUAGCAAAACAACAUUACAAGCUAUAAAAUCCUAAUUUAAGCGUCAACAACGAGGUUUCAUAGUCUGAAAAUGUUCCAUGACAGCUUCAUUAACAAUACAAGAAAAAACAUCUUUCUUCAUGUAAACAACUAAGUUGUCUCUCAACCAUUGAUCUCCUAUUUUGUUGUGAAGUUGACCCUUAAUGAUAUUUAUAGCGGAAAAUGUCUUCUUCACUAAAGCAAUUACAACCGGUAAAACCAAAGCCAACUGAACAAGCAAAUAUACAUAUGCAAAUGUUUGAUGUAACAUUUUCUCCACCAUUUUCUUAGCAAGAUCUCUCAAGAUUAUUAAAAUUAAUGUCACACUCAUUUUAUCUUGAGCUCGAACUACCCGAACAAAUAGAUAGUGCUAUUGGCUUUGGCUUGAAAAUUUUCUCCAUAUUUCUUAUUUCUAAACUACACAUUUAAUAAAAAAAAAAACACAAAACAUAUACCAAUUAACCAAUAAACAAAAAUUUCAUCUAAAUUCCAAUGAUCAAAUGAGUAUACAAACAUAAAACAUAUCAACAAUCAUAUCAAUAAUAGACUAAAACAUCUCCAUCAAUACCUAUUAUAAUUUAAUUGAGAUUAUAUUAGAAUACCGAAAAACUUACUUGAAUUUUGAACAAAUAGUGGUGGCCUGGAGAUUUGAAACAAGUGGAGGUAUGAUGUUGGAGUAAUAAAAAUUAUAAUAUGGGAUUGGGUGAGAUUUAGAAUUUUAGGGUUUUGAAAUCUGGGGAGUUGGGGAUUAGAAUUUGGGUGAAUAUGUUAAAGCUGGACAUUGGGGGAAGCAGAUGAGCGGGGAAUGGUGGGACUGUGGGGACAUAUGUGGGCUAGAAUUUGAAACAAUGUGGACAAAUGACAGUGUUUUGUCCAUUGUUUAAAUUUUUUUUU
rnacentral:lncRNA from 1 species